GAUGAACGCUAGCUACAGGCUUAACACAUGCAAGUCGAGGGGCAGCGCAGUGUAGCAAUACAGUGGGCCGGCGACCGGCGCACGGGUGCGUAACGCGUAUCCAACCUUCCCGUUACUCAGGGAUAGCCUUCCGAAAGGGAGAUUAAUACCUGAUGGUGUUGAAAUUCCGCAUGUUAUUUCAACUAAAGAUUUAUCGGUAACGGAUGGGGAUGCGUGACAUUAGGUAGAUGGCGGGGUAACGGCCCACCAUGCCUACGAUGUCUAGGGGUUCUGAGAGGAAGGUCCCCCACACUGGAACUGAGACACGGUCCAGACUCCUACGGGAGGCAGCAGUGAGGAAUAUUGGUCAAUGGUCGGAAGACUGAACCAGCCAAGUAGCGUGAAGGAUGAAGGUUCUAUGGAUUGUAAACUUCUUUUAUACGGGAAUAAAACCUCCCACGUGUGGGAGCUUGUAUGUACCGUAUGAAUAAGCAUCGGCUAACUCCGUG
rnacentral:rRNA from 1 species